AAUUUCUGACUGGACAUGCCUAGUCCGACAAGAUUUCUUGUCGUGUGCCGGGUCGUGUUAGUCAUCCUUCUGGAAAUUGGAAUUACGCUUCACUGCGUUGAUUUCAUGAUCCAGAUCUUUUACUUUGAAAAAAUUAGAGUGUUUAAAGCAGGCUUUUGCUAUGAAUACAUUAGCAUGGAAUAAUAAUCUAGGACUUCGGUUCUAUUUUGUUGGUUUCUAUAACUGAAGUAAUGAUUGAUAGGGAUAGUUGGGGGUGCUAGUAUUGGCCGGCCAGAGGUGAAAUUCUUGGAUUCGGUCAAGACUAACUUAUGCGAAAGCAUU
rnacentral:rRNA from 1 species